UGGGGAAUUUUGGACAAUGGGCGAAAGCCUGAUCCAGCAAUGCCGCGUGUGUGAAGAAGGCCUUCGGGUUGUAAAGCACUUUUGUCCGGAAAGAAAUCCUCUGGGUUAAUACCUCGGGGGGAUGACGGUACCGGAAGAAUAAGCACCGGCUAACUACGUGCCAGCAGCCGCGGUAAUACGUAGGGUGCAAGCGUUAAUCGGAAUUACUGGGCGUAAAGCGUGCGCAGGCGGUUUUGUAAGACGGAUGUGAAAUCCCCGGGCUUAACCUGGGAACUGCAUUCGUGACUGCAAGGCUAGAGUAUGGCAGAGGGGGGUAGAAUUCCACUGUAGCAGUGAAAUGCGUAGAGAUGUGGAGGAAUACCGAUGGCGAAGGCAGCCCCCCU
rnacentral:rRNA from 1 species